GGUGGAAAUGGGAAAGGUAGGAAUGGAACACUGGGAAUGGGAUAAGUGGGAAAUGAGGGAAUGGGAAAGGUGGGAAUGGGGAUGUGGGAAAUGGGACAGGUGGGAAUGGGAAAGGUGGGAAUGUGGGAAAUGUGGGAAUGGGAAAGGUGGGAAUAUGGGAAUGGGAAAUGUGGGAAAGGUGGGAAUGUGGGGAAUGGGAAAGGCAGGAAUAGGGAAUGUGGGAAAGGGAAAUGUGGGAAUGGGGAAGGUGGGAAUGUGGGAAACAUGGGACUAGGAAAGAUGGGAAUGGGACAGGUGGCAAAUGUGGGAAAGGUGGGAAUGGGAAAGGGGGGAAUGGAACACUGGGAAUGGGACAGGUGGGAAAUGAAGGAAUGGGAAAGGUGGGAAUGUGGGGAACAUGGGAAACGUGGGAAUGGGAAAUGUGGAAAGGGGAAAUGUGGGAGUGGGAAAUGUGGGAAUUAUGGAAGGGGG